rnacentral:lncRNA from 1 species
UGAUACCGUACCCGCUCCAGGGCCACGUGAUCCCGGCGGCGCACCUCGCCCUGCGGCUGGCGGCGCGCGGGUUCACCGUCACCUUCGUCAACACGGAGUCGGUGCACCAGCAGGCCGCGCGCGCCCUGGGCGUCGACCGGCGGGGCUGCGACAUCUUCGCCGGCGCGCGCGGGUCGGAGGACGUGCGGUACGAGCUGGUGAGCGACGGCUUCCCGCUGGGCUUCGACCGGUCGCUGAACCACGACCAGUACAUGGAGGGCGUGCUGCACGUGCUCCCGGCGCACGUGGAGGAGCUGCUCCGCCGCGUCGUCCUGGACCCGGCGUCCACCUGCCUCGUUGCCGACACGUUCUUCGUGUGGCCGGCGACGCUGGCCAGGGCGCUCGGCGUGCCCUACGUCUCCUUCUGGACGGAGCCGGCGCUCAUCUUCGCCCUCUACUACCACAUGGACCUGCUCGCCGAGCAUGGCCACUUCAAAUGCAAAGGUACUACCACAAAUUACCACACGCUCAUAUCUUGAGAUGCACCAUGCAUGACGACGUUGCAAAUCAUGCGUCAGGAGUUCAUAGUUUUCUGCAUGUUAAUUACUGGAAUCCAUUGGGGGUCGAUCGAUCGUAGCAGCAUCACAUAUUUGCAGUGGCUUCUUGCUCCUUUCCUUCCAGCCAUCGCUGUUUCUUACCUGGAACGUGUGUCCCUGGCUGGUCCAUAAUCGUGUAUACGGACAGGAGAAGUGUCCCCCAAUCGCUUAGGAGGCACAGCGAUGGCGUUUCCUUUUCCUUCUUGUUGGCUUCUUGUGUGUGUGUGUCAGUGUGUGGAAAAUACCAAUUCCAUUUUGCCACCCGACUUGGUCCCAACACGAAAAGUAUCCAACUGCACGGGAGACUCGACACUCGACAGUUUACUUCAGAAGAAGGUAGCUGCCCAGCUGGAGGAAGGAGAGAGCACAACAGCCAUUGGAUAUGGAUCAGGCGACUUAAAAAAAAUCAACUUAUUACCAUACAAAUUCCAAGCCAGUUUAGCUGGAUGUCAGUCACCUGAAUAUGAUAUUUGGGUCAGUCAAUUUCGGAGGAAGAAAGCAACAACCGCCAGAGAGAGCGAAGGAAGGAGCAGCCGCCGGCCUGCCACGGAAGCAUGAGCCUCUGUGUCUAUCCUAGGGGUGCAGGGUGCAGCAGGAGUUCAGGCUCACCGGGUGAUGGCUGGGGAAAGGUGGGGCGGAGAGGUUGGCGCGGGAGCGCCGCCGGCCACGGGCGGCGGUGUCAGGCGGUUAGGCCGGUGGUAGCUCGGGGUUCGGGCUAGAAGAUGAACAGAAAAACCGAUUUGAAGGUGUAGAAAAAAAAUAGAAAAAAAAUGAUUCGGGUUCUGGCUGUUGGUUCUGCAUCGGAUAGCUAAAAACAAGUUGAGUGGCCCUAAUUCAUUUUCAGUCGACUGGUCACCCGUCCCAUUCCAAGCAACUUACCUGCACGUCAAGAAAAAAAAGAAGAAGAAAAGACACUCGUGGACAUUUGGAGUUCUGCAGGCAUGUUUUCUAGUUGUUCGUGGACCUUCUAAAUAAUGGGAUCCAGAGACCUGGUGGGAGGCGAUGACCUGUUGUGUGACAAUGCACAACAUGAUCGUGGAGGAUGAGGGUGACGAUGCUGUCGUAGAACUUGUAUCUAAGAACAUGGGUGAUUUUAUCGAACUUCUAGACCAGAAUACCGUUACAUUUGAAGAGAUUGUUCAAAUGCAUCAACAAAUUCGGCAUCGAACAACUAAAAAAGAUUUGAUUGAUCGUCUAUGGUCGGUUAAAGGGAUAACAAUAUUGGGCGUAAUGUUUACAUUUUUUAAAUUAGAACUACUGCUACAUUUGAACUAUUUUAGCUAAAUUGAAACUAUAUAUGCGGCUAUUUAAGCAUGCUGAUAUAAAAAAAAAUGGCCGAAUGUAUGAGGUUAGUUGAAUGGACGGCUCCUUAUCCGUGUUCGCGGGGGCGCGGAAUAGUCCCUCCGUUCACGGAGUGAUGCGGUCCGUGUUUGAGAUGACCUAGACUAUGUUACUACCUUCAUAGUAGGUAGUAACUUAAGGGUGGUAACAUGCAAAGAUUCAUUUAUUAUAUUAUAGACUCAUAUUGUAUUGGGACAUGUGAUGUUCCAGUAACUAGCUAAGUUACUAUAACUAUCUCUCUUCUCAUUAACUCAUUACCACAUAAGCAAAUUUGCUGAGUUGGACUUGAUGUUAGUGUUAAAGUUACUUCCACUAUGGCUAGUCUAAGAAAUCGGAUUGGGUAAUAAUUUCGUGUCUGGGCAAUGACCCGGCCGGAUGUAUAGCGGGGUUUCCAGAGGUUCGGUUCUAGAUACUCUUGCAUGUACGGUCUAAACGAAAGGCGACUUCUCCAUCGAGAUCAUCGUCAGCUUACAUCACCUGCGCACUCAUCCCCCGUACAAAAAACGCCAGAUAUGGUGGCAGCUCGUAAGCCGCGCCAUCGUGUAAUCACACCAUUCGUCUCACUACGGACAAUGCGUGUGCGUGUGCGCGCACCAGAUUAACGAAGUACACAAAUUUUGACUAAACGUUGGCAACAAAUUUCAUGAGCACGAAUCCGACGCAGGCCGGCGGCUACAGAGAUAACGACGGUUUCAUAAGCUAUAGUACGUACCAUUACCAUGGGGUCACACCGAUGCCCACUACGGUGUCAUAUAGCAAGUCAAGUGCCAGCGACGGUUCGCAGGAAACCAGAGGAACUAGCUAGCUCGAGGUACGUGAUCAUGGCGCAAAAGGAGGCCGGCGUAGGAGCCACGAGCGGCGGCGGCAAGGCCAAGCCGCACGCGGUGGUGGUGGUGUACCCGCUGCAGGGCCAUGUCAUCCCCGUCACGCACCUCGCGCUGCGGCUGGCGGCGCGGGGCUUCGCCGUCACGGUCGUCAACACGGAGGCCGUGCACGACCAGACGGCGCGCGCUCUCGGCGUCGACCCGGCCGGCUACGACUUCUUCGCCGGCGCGCGCGCGUCGGGGAUGGACGUGCGCUACGAGCUUAUCAGCGACGGCCUCCCCGUGGGGUUCGACCGGUCGCUGCAUCACGACGAGUUCAUGGGCUCGCUGCUCCACGCGCACUCCGGCCACGUCGAGGAGGUGCUCGCCCGCGUCGUGGUCGACCCGGCCGCGACGUGCCUCGUCGCCGACACCUUCUUCGUGUGGCCGGCGACGCUGGCCAG